AGCAAAAGUCAACAAACUACCACUGGUGGCCAAAUUUGGGGCACAAGGAGAAAACAGCGGUCUGCAACCCGGAAGAGGCUCUUCACCACACCUUGACCAUGCUGGCAUCCUGAUCGCAUACUCCUAGCUCUCAGAGCCCUCUGCAAAAUGGAACCACAACUCUGCUAUUCAUCACCCAUCCAGCACCAGCCCUUGCACAAAGUGUUUCCUGCCUUCUUUGGCUCUAACCAUCCACGUUUUCUCAAAGCCCUUGAGUGGCCCAUAGAGCCAUGACCUGCAGAAUCUAACACACAUCUUUGUUUCAACCCCUGAGCCC